rnacentral:rRNA from 1 species
GUGUCAGCAGCCGCGGUAAUACGAAGGUGGCGAGCGUUGUUCGGAAUCACUGGGCUUAAAGAGCAUGUAGGCGGCUCAUCAAGCGUCUUGUGAAAUCCCUCGGCUCAACCGAGGAAUGGCUGGGCGAACUGAUGGGCUUGAGGCAGGUAGGGGCGCGUGGAACUCUUGGUGGAGCGGUGGAAUGCGUAGAUAUCAAGAGGAACGCCGGUGGCGAAGGCGACGCGCUGGGCUUGUCCUGACGCUGAGAUGCGAAAGCCAGGGGAGCAAACGGGAUUAGAAACCCCUGUAGUCC